AUUUGUAAACUUUUUAAAACCCUGCCCCCCUCUACAAAAUCCCUGCACCCCCUCACACACAGUUACAGGCAGACAGUCACACACAGUUACAAGCAGUCACACGCACACAGUCACAUGCAGACCGUCACACAUAUAGUCACAGGCAGUCAUACACACAGUUACAGGUAGAGAGUUACACACAAACACAGUCAGUUACAAGCAGUUGCACACAAUCACGCACACUGUUACAGGCAGACAGUCAC